rnacentral:rRNA from 1 species
GUGGGGAAUAUUGGACAAUGGGCGAAAGCCUGAUCCAGCCAUGCCGCGUGUGUGAAGAAGGUCUUCGGAUUGUAAAGCACUUUAAGUUGGGAGGAAGGGUAGUAACCUAAUACGUUGCUACUUUGACGUUACCGACAGAAUAAGCACCGGCUAACUUCGUGCCAGCAGCCGCGGUAAUACGAAGGGUGCAAGCGUUAAUCGGAAUUACUGGGCGUAAAGCGCGCGUAGGUGGUUCAGCAAGUUGGAUGUGAAAGCCCUGGGCUCAACCUGGGAACUGCAUACAAAACUACUGAGCUAGAGUACGGUAGAGGGUAGUGGAAUUUCCUGUGUAGCGGUGAAAUGCGUAGAUAUAGGAAGGAACACCAGUGGCGAAGGCGACUACCUGGACUGAUACUGACACUGAGGUGCGAAAGCGUGGGGAGCAAACAGGAUUAGAAACCCGAGUAGUCC